rnacentral:snRNA from 1 species
CUGCUUGCUUCGGCAGCACAUAUACUAUAAGCAAGCACAUACACUAAACUUGGAAAGAUACAGAUAAGAUUAGCGUGGGUGCUGCACAGGAAUGACAGGCAAAUUCAUGAAGUGUUUGUAUUUAUA